GUGUUGAAUGAUGAUUCGCAUUUUGUCGGAUACCCCUUCACUCUCCAAUGAGUGAAAACCUCUUUCUGACAUGC